rnacentral:rRNA from 1 species
GGGACAACCCGCCGAAAGGCGGGCUAAACCCGCGUACAUGCCACCGGGGCAUCCCGGAGGCAGGAAAGGCUUCGGCCGGACAGGGAUGGGCAUGCGGCGCAUUAGGCAGUAGGCGGGGUAACGGCCCACCUAACCGACGAUGCGUAGGGGUUCUGAGAGGAAGGUCCCCCACACUGGUACUGAGACACGGACCAGACUCCUACGGGAGGCAGCAGUGAGGAAUAUUGGUCAAUGGUCGGGAGACUGAACCAGCCAAGCCGCGUGAGGGAGGAAGGUACAGAGUAUCGUAAACCUCUUUUGUCAGGGAACAAAGACUGGGACGCGUCCCCGGAUGAGUGUACCUGAAGAAAAAGCAUCGGCUAACUCCGUGCCAGCAGCCGCGGUAAUACGGAGGAUGCGAGCGUUAUCCGGAUUUAUUGGGUUUAAAGGGUGCGCAGGCGGUCUGUUAAGUCAGCGGUCAAAGCCCGGGGCUCAACCCCGGCCCGCCGUUGAAGCUGGCAGUCUCGAGUUGGAGAGAAGUAUGCGGAAUGCGCGGUGUAGCGGUGAAAUGCAUAGAUAUCGCGCAGAACUCCGAUUGCGAAGGCAGCAUGCCGGCUCCACACUGACGCUGAGGCACGAAAGCGUGGGUAUCGAACAGGAUUAGAUACCCUGGUAGUCCACGCAGUAAACGAUGAAUGAUGGCUGUCCG